AUGUAUGAUUUUGUAGUAAACAUUCGAUGUUUUUAAGAUAAAAAUGGUCUACACAGCAAGCUGUGUUGUUAUAAAUUGUGAAAACACUAGCAGAAAUAGUGACUGCAAAUUUUAUAGAUUUCCUACAACAUUGUGGAAACAAGAACAGCGCAAUAAAUGGAUAAUUGCCGUAAGAAGAAUAAAUCCCGAUGGAUCUCUAUGGCACCCAAAACCGGACGACAGAAUUUGCAGUGCUCACUUUAUCAGUGGUAGAAAAGCUGAUGAACAAGCCAGUCCCAGUUAUGUUCCAAGGAUAUUUCCCCCUGAGUACAAAUCAAGGCGGAUUGACGAAAAUGCCGCAAUAUCGAGGUUUCAACGUUAUAUGGAACGAAGAAACGCGAAAAAAAUAGAAGCAGUUAGUGCUAGUGCUAGUAAUACAAGUGAGUUUGAAUUGCUGGAAAAUAGUGUUAGUAAUAUUCUGCUCAUACGUUGAAGAAAUAGCAGCUGCUACAUCGAAUUUGGUUUUUUGGCCAAACAAAAAUGCUGUGGAGCAGACAAUGCCAGAAUGCUUCCGUCCGGAGUAUAGUAACACUCGAGUAAUUAUUGAUUGUACAGAGUUUCCUAUAGAAGUACCAUCAAGUGUCGAUAAUCGUGUGUUAUGCUACUCACACUAUAAGAAGGGUUUUACAGCUAAAGUGCUUAUUGGUAUUACUCCAGGAGGCUUCAUUUCGUUCAAGUCAAAAGUAAGUGGUGGAAGAAAAAGUGACUCACAAAUAACAGUAGAGUCAGGAUUAGUCGACUACUUAGAAAAUGGGGACAUUGUAUUGGCUGAUAAGGGAUUUCCGGCAAUAAAAAAGGUAAUUGAUGAAAGUGGAAAAGAAAUUGCUAUUAUUAUGCCACCUUUUCUCAAGAAUAAAAGUGAAUUUACAAGAGAAGAGACAGAUGCAACUUAUAAAAUAGCUCGAGUCGGAAUUCAUGUUGAAAGAAUAA